rnacentral:rRNA from 1 species
UACGUAGGUGGCAAGCGUUGUCCGGAUUUACUGGGCGUAAAGAGCGCGCAGGCGGUCGUUCAAGUCGCGUGUGAAAGCCCCCGGCUCAACUGGGGAGGGUCACGCGAUACUGAUCGACUUGAAGGCAGGAGAGGGUAGUGGAAUUCCCGGUGUAGUGGUGAAAUGCGUAGAUAUCGGGAGGAACACCAGUGGCGAAGGCGACUACCUGGCCUGUUCUUGACGCUGAGGCGCGAAAGCUAGGGGAGCAAACGGG